rnacentral:lncRNA from 1 species
GUCUGCUGCCAGAAAAUAGAACAUACAUCGAUUCAGUAGAGUUUUCAAAAUUUUUCUAUGGACGGUUCAAUCAAAUCGUUUCAGAAUCAUAAUUUGGUCUGCUGAUAUCCUUAUCGCGAUGAACAUGGAGCAUGACAAGACCGCACAAUCUCUCGCCACUCAUGCAUGCUCUUUUCCAAGUUUUCAGUUGUUCCAGGGCAGUCUGUGUUUCUAAAGGUAGCACAUCAUCAUCAACACAAUGAUCAAUGUCUUCUUCCAAUUCCUUCUCCAUCAGCAAUUCGGUAGCAGCAUCG